rnacentral:rRNA from 1 species
AUUGAACGCUGGCGGCAGGCCUAACACAUGCAAGUCGGGCGGAUGAAGGGAGCUUGCUCCUGGAUUCAGCGGCGGACGGGUGAGUAAUGCCUAGGAAUCUGCCUGGUAGUGGGGGAUAACGUCCGGAAACGGGCGCUAAUACCGCAUACGUCCUGAGGGAGAAAGUGGGGGAUCUUCGGACCUCACGCUAUCAGAUGAGCCUAGGUCGGAUUAGCUAGUUGGUGGGGUAAAGGCCUACCAAGGCGACGAUCCGUAACUGGUCUGAGAGGAUGAUCAGUCACACUGGAACUGAGACACGGUCCAGACUCCUACGGGAGGCAGCAGUGGGGAAUAUUGGACAAUGGGCGAAAGCCUGAUCCAGCCAUGCCGCGUGUGUGAAGAAGGUCUUCGGAUUGUAAAGCACUUUAAGUUGGGAGGAAGGGCAGUAAGUUAAUACCUUGCUGUUUUGACGUUACCAACAGGAUAAGCACCGGCUAACUUCGUG